rnacentral:rRNA from 1 species
UGGGGAAUAUUGCGCAAUGGGGGGAACCCUGACGCAGCCAUGCCGCGUGAAUGAAGAAGGCCUUCGGGUUGUAAAGUUCUUUCGGUAUUGAGGAAGGUUGAUGUGUUAAUAGCAUAUCAAAUUGACGUUAAAUACAGAAGAAGCACCGGCUAACUCCGUGCCAGCAGCCGCGGUAAUACGGAGGGUGCGAGCGUUAAUCGGAAUAACUGGGCGUAAAGGGCACGCAGGCGGUUAUUUAAGUGAGGUGUGAAAGCCCUGGGCUUAACCUAGGAAUUGCAUUUCAGACUGGGUAACUAGAGUACUUUAGGGAGGGGUAGAAUUCCACGUGUAGCGGUGAAAUGCGUAGAGAUGUGGAGGAAUACCGAAGGCGAAGGCAGCCCCUUGGGAAUGUACUGACGCUCAUGUGCGAAAGCGUGGGGAGCAAACAGGAUUAGAUACCCUGGUAGUCCACGCUGUAAACGCUGUCGAUUUGGGGAUUGGGCUUAGAGCUUGGUGCCCGUAGCUAACGUGAUAAAUCGACCGCCUGGGGAGUACGGCCGCAAGGUUA